GAUGAACGCUGGCGGCGUGCCUAAUACAUGCAAGUCGAGCGAAUGGAUUAAGAGCUUGCUCUUAUGAAGUUAGUGGCGAACGGGUGAGUAACACGUGAGUAACCUGCCCUUGACUCUGGGAUAACUGCUAGAGAUGGUAGCUAAUACCGGAUACGACCCUCGGAGGCAUCUCCUGGGGGUGGAAAGAAUUUCGGUCAAGGAUGGACUCGCGGCCUAUCAGCUAGUUGGUGAGGUAAAGGCUAACCAAGGCGACGACGGGUAGCCGGCCUGAGAGGGUGACCGGCCACACUGGGACUGAGACACGGCCCAGACUCCUACGGGAGGCAGCAGUGGGGAAUAUUGCACAAUGGGCGCAAGCCUGAUGCAGCAACGCCGCGUGAGGGAUGACGGCCUUCGGGUUGUAAACCUCUUUUAGCAGGGAAGAAGCGAAAGUGACGGUACCUGCAGAAAAAGCACCGGCUAACUACGUGCCAGCAGCCGCAGUAA
rnacentral:rRNA from 1 species